AGUGUCCCCAGACUUUGAAGAGAGUGGGGAAGGGGCCUUCAGGGGGUCCCUGCAGGAAGGGAGCGCAGAGGCAGCGGCCGGCCCAGCGAGCAUCAUCAGAUACCUGUGGCUCUCAAGCCCUCCCUUCUGUCCCUGCCCCCUGCAGAGAAUGAUCUGGAAGGAUUCUCUGUUUUGGAAUCUUUGAGAGCUGUUCUACUUUCAUUUCUGUUGCUCUGAUGAAACAACCUACGAAAAAACCAGCUUAAUAGAGAAGAGAUUAUUUUAGCUCUACCACUUGAGGUUCCUUCAUUGGUUUCCCUGGAUGAUGGGCUGUAACCUUUAACCAAGAAAACUUGUUUAAGCCAGCCAAAUAUGUGAUGAACACACAGCAUCAUUAAAGCCAAGUGA
ensembl:lincRNA Gm42456 predicted gene 42456